rnacentral:rRNA from 1 species
GCUGGCGGCAGGCCUAACACAUGCAAGUCGAACGGCACCUUCGGGUGUAGUGGCGGACGGGUUAGUAACGCGUGGGAACGUGCCCUUUGCUCUGGAAUAGCCCUGGGAAACUGGGGGUAAUACCGGAUGUGCCCUUCGGGGGAAAGAUUUAUUGGCAAGGGAUCGGCCCGCGUCUGAUUAGGUAGUUGGUGGGGUAACGGCCCACCAAGCCGACGAUCGGUAGCUGGUUUGAGAGGAUGAUCAGCAACACUGGGACUGAGACACGGCCCAGACUCCUACGGGAGGCAGCAGUGGGGAAUAUUGGACAAUGGGCGAAAGCCUGAUCCAGCAAUACCGAGUGAGUGAUGAAGGCCCUAGGGUUGUAAAGCUCUUUUAGCAAGGAAGAUAAUGACGUUACUUGCAGAAAAAGCCCCGGCUAACUCCGUGCCAGCAGCCGCGGUAAUACG